rnacentral:lncRNA from 10 species
GGACACGUCCAGCUCCUCCAACACUCUUGUCAGCUCCCACAGAGGUAGCUGCAAGGGAAACUUGGACCGCCAGCAUCUGGAAAGACCCCUACCCCACUCCGGGAUCCAAAACCACCUCCCACAUCCAGCCAAGACAGCCGGACAAGGAUGAAGGAAACAGGCUACAUCUCACCCUACAAGCUCAGGGCUGAGCCUAUGGAAUUUCAUCAAAAAUUACAAACCGGCCAGGCGCGGCGGCUCACGCCUGUAAUCCCAGGACUUUGCGAGGCCAAGGCAGGCGGAUCACCUGAGGUCAGGAGUUCCAGACCAGCCUGAUCAACAUGGAGAAACCCUUUCUCUACUAAAAAAAUACAAAAUUG